GAUAGCUCAGCGGUGGAGCAGGUGACUGUUAAUCACAAGGUCGUAGGUUCAAAUCCUACUC
rnacentral:tRNA from 1 species